rnacentral:tRNA from 1 species
UGUAGCUUAGUGGUAGAGCAUUUGCCUGGCAUGCAAAAGGACCUGGGUUUGACCUCAGCA